UCUGGUCAAUGAUGAGACUUUACUGAUAGUGGACGGUUGGAUGAAGCUUGCGGAUAUGGGACUGAGGCCAGAG